UAACAGAUUUAUUGUGGCACUAAGUGUUUAUGGAGUAGAGCCCAUGGCAUCAGAUGGCCGAUACAGACCCACAUGCAGAGAGGUACAGAUGAUGGAGGAACAUUGUCACUAGUGGAGGCCAAAAGAUCUGAGAUAUGUAGCGCACCCUGUAAAACAUGUCACCACUGUUGACACUGGUUGUCUCAUGAAAGGGUGGCGCACAAAGAUCAGCUGUCCCAUUCCACCACCACAUUAUAUUUAGAAGCGGCGAAACUGGAGGAAAAGCAUUUUGGCUGCUUUGCGAGUGGACAAAGGGCCCGAGACUGGGGGUGCUCGUGUGCAUUGCUAGCAGUGUACAUUUCUAACAGACAACCAGCAUAAUUCUGGCCUGCAACACAUACCUCCUCUGAAAACAAGGGCACGUCGUGAUUUUACAUUACUGCUGUUUGAAAAACGGAGUAUCCAAAUUUAAUGGGUCUACACAGGACAGGCCCUAUUAUUAGUCUGAGCGAAUCAGAGCCUCAGGGGACAGAUGCUUAACGAAGUGCUGCCAGGUUGGCUCUGACUCACGACAACCCUUUCCAGGGUUUUCUAGAUGUAGAGUACUGUACUCAGAAGUGGUUUGCCGAUCUUUUCUCCUAGGGGCACUUUAGGGCUGUGCAGCUCGCCCAAGGCUACACAGGCUGGCUUUUCACCGGGAAGGCACAGUGGGGGGAAAUCAAACUCCCGACCUCUGGGCCAACAGCCAUUAACCCAACUCACCCAGCUGGCAGGGGCCCAGGAUGGUAAGAGGUUGAGCCCCAAGUUUUGCCUCUUUUGAACCUCUGGUUUUAAUCGGCUGCUUUUUGUAACAGGGGAAGAUGUCCAUCGCCCAAGUUGAAGGACAAUUCAACCACCAGUCCAGUCAGAUUUGGUACAAGGAAGUAGGGGGUGAAAUUUUGUCCCUGCGCCAGGCAGCAACAUGCCAUGGAACAGUCCUGGGUCCUACACGCGAGUCCCACAACCAUUAUCACCACUGCAUUUGGCCCCUCUUCCACCCGGUCCCCAGUCCCCAACUGCCCUGUACUGGGCAGUGAGUUGUCAACGACAGUUCUCUCACUGCUGCUCACAGGAAUGAUAAAGGUUUCCUAUUGCACACACAUUUCUGUCCACAUUCCUGCACACAUGAGUGGAAGCUAGGAUUGCCAAGUCUCUGAAAACUGGUUGAAGACAGAGCGAGGAUGCUGGCAGCUGGCAGCAAAAUCCUGGUGAGGUGGGGGGGGGAGAUAACUGAGCGUUGUCAUGGCCCGCAUGCAAGAAAGGUUCACCCUGCUAGUCCAAGUGGUUUUGUGCUUUGGAUGGACUUGGUCUUCACUUCAGGCAGCAAACGGGUAGGACCGAACGUGAGGGAAGCAAUGAUGGGGAGCAGAGAAUGGCAGGUGCAUGCGAGGUUGCCAGAAUUUCUCAUACCUGCAUCGAUACUCUUUGGACAAAUUGCCUGCUCUUGAUGAUGAAAUGACACUCUUACAGCUGACCGGAGAAGCAUCCAUGUGUCUCCAAGUUCACGUGGGUACUUUUUCUCCUUUUUGCUCCUCUGCACAUGAAAAAGGCCAUAUUGCUGAACAUUCUCCACCCCUUUUUUUAAAAUGUCACCUGCUACUUUUUGUCUCAUCUUCACAAUGCCCUGGAACAGCAUUCCAUCCACUGCAUUGUAAAGGAUAGGAGAUGGCUGCCUAGCUUCCAACGUAUGGCUUUGCUGCCGCCACACCC